GUCGGCACCCGGGGCGUUGCGCGGUCGAGGCCGGAGCCGCGCUUUCGGAGGCGCGCGUGGAGGCCGCCGCUUCCCGGCCUUCGACGACGGCGGAUGCUGCCAUCUGGUGGGCGCGCGGGGAACUUCCAGAACUGGCAGCUCGCGGUCUUCCAUCCUGAAGUGUUAUUAUUUCUGUCUGAUUUUAGAUCCGCCCCCAGGGCCCCGAUCUUGCUUUUGGUCUGGCUGGACUGAUUCAGGUCAGGAGUAGUAAGUAUGUUUCAACCUGCCAGCUCGAAACGAUAGUUUCCUCCACAAAUGGAAGUCCUUUUUUCUUGUCCCAGGGCCGCUCCUAGGGAGGUACUGGGUGAAUCGCGGAGCUCCCUGAUGCUCAGCUUUCCGCACCUGUGAAGUGGGCUCCCGCUGUGGCGUGAGGCUCCAGUGCUCAGGGGCUUCGGAAGGUGACUGGAUCGCCAGCGCUGCACCCCUCAGGGGUCCCCACGGGUGAGCUCGGGGUGAACGUGCUGUGCUGUCAGGGCCCAGGUGCAGGAAGUGCACCCUCAGGAACCGUGAGCUAAAAUACACCUUUUCUCCCUGAAAUUGUGAGUUUCAAGUAUUUGGUCCCAACAACAAAGAUCUACUGAAUAUUUUUACCAUCCUUCUGUGGACACAGUGUCAUCCACGGUCCCGGGUGCUGAGCCCCAGCGGGUGAGGAAGUCAGAGCGCCCGCCACCAGGCAGCUGGCGCUCUGCAGAGGAAGAGACCACACACACUCGUGCGCACACGCACUUCCUCCUUUCCGUGUCUUCCUCCCAGGUCUUUCCUGAAACGCAGAUCUAGACACGUGACUGCCUCGCUCAGAAACCCUCCCCGUCACUGACAUAGCUCCUGCUGAUCCAUCAGAGGAACGCCUGUCCGGGUCACACUGGCCUCCGCGGUCACGGAGCUGGUAAACGGGAGCCGGGCCCCGCUGGGGUGGAGUCCCCGCCCUCCCCCGAGAGCCCACACUGCUGCGUUGCUCCCACCGCUGUCUCAUGCCUCCACACGUGUGUCCAGCUGGUUCUCCAGGGCCUCUUGAUGAAAUCUCACCAGGUGCCUGGGACCCAGCUCGAAUGUCUCGCCCACGCAUUGCUGCGAACCUGCACGCAACACCUCUGCCCUCCUAAGCCUGGAAGUUCCCCACAGGCACUGGUCAUGACUAGCGCAGUCCACAGCCCCAGUUCCUGGCCCAGUGCCCAGCAACAGCCCCUGCAGGGGUCUUCUGAAUGGUGUUAGAUGAGUUUCUAUUCUAGGAGCUUUGGGUGGAAGAAAGCCACCACUGCACAAAUGCUAUAGUCAUGACUAAGAUUAUGCUUGAGGAUGUGAUAUUCAGAUCCUAAAGACUUGAGACCCUGUUGACAACUGAUACGGAAAGUGCAUGAGAGUAAAAGAGAACAUCACACACACGUUUCCUGUAGGGCUUUAUGUAAAGAAAACUUCGGGGUAACCGGAUACUUUUUGCCUUCUCCCCUCGAUGGGAAUAAACUCCGAGAGGACAGUGACUGCCGUCGCUCACAUGGGUCUCUUCACUGCCAAGACGUCCGCUGAAGGUGCACGUCUGGUUCUCGGCACUUCUCCUCUGGGGUAGUGAAGGGGGCUGUCAAGCCAGGCCAGUGUAUCCACUUUCUACAGUGCUUCCUACAGCGCCUGGUUCACAAGCGUCUUUCCAGUGGUUAUCUUCAGUUUUUGACACAACCCUCGACUUCUCAAAGGCCGCUCUGUAGCUGACAUCGCGGAGGUCUGUGUGCGUCCUCCAAGAUGAACGUGCUGGAAAAUAACCCCCACUUCCCACGCCGGUGCCGCUGGAGGUGCGGCUCUGGUGACAGUGGGCGCGUGGGGCCCAGGGGCCGUCAGAAGAGGCACAGCCCCGAAGAGCCUUCUCACCCCUCGGCCCCCGGCGCGCGAGCAGCCCUCGCUGGACGCCCGCAGGUACUGGCGCCGUGCUUUCCCACUUUCUGCCUCCAGAUUCAGGGCCCAGUGAGUUGGGUUUCGCAAUAGCAGCAGAAAAUGGACCAAGGCAGGGAUUUUCAGCUUUUGUUGGUUUGUUUGAUUUUUUACAUAAUGCAGUGUUCUUGUAAUACUUUCUCAGUGUCACCUGUUUCCAACUCAGAGCCACCAUUGUUGAAUAUUUCAAUUCUUUCUAUAUUUCAUAUCCCACAAAAGAUUCAUUUGGGUUUAAGUAGUCAAAAGUUAUUUGCCUUUGCCUACAUGUCUACUUCUUUCAGUGGUCCUCUUUUCUUCCUACAGCUGUGAACUCUAUCUGGGAUAAUUUUUCUUUUACCCGAGGAAGAAUUUUGCCUUGAUAUUUCGUGCAGUGACAGUCAGAUAGUGAUUAAACUAUCUGAACAUACCCUUACCUUGGCUCUUAUUGAAUGCUUUCAUUAGUUAGAGUUGGCAGUUAUUUCAUUAUUUUGUGGUCAAUUUCUCUGCUGAGAUUCUCAAUCUUGUUUAUAUCUUUACUACAAAGUCUGCCUGGUAAAAACAAUAGAAAGUCAGACAAAGUACUACUAUCUGGAAUAUAUAAAGAACUUUAAAAAAUCAGACUCCCCAAAUUUAAAGAC